GUCUUAAAAAACCAAAAUAUCCUGUUCAGUGAAUAAAAAGAAACUGACAGGAGUAGAACAAAAGUUAACAUACCAAGGCCUUUUGCUGGAGGAGGAGGCAUGAGAGGAGCAGUGCAUUACAGUCAAAACUCCACCCUCAGCAAAAAGAACAGAGGAACAAAAACAGCAAGCCGAGCUCAUGGACAUCUCCUGCAUUUGAGGCAAUUGAAGCCGAAGCUGCUGCUUUGCCUUUCACCAUGCUCCUGCUGUCUUCAGCAGAGCCCUGCAGAGCUGGGUCAUUGGGUCCUAUGAGAUCAACCCUUCCUGGAAAAGUGUUGGGUGCAGCCCCAGCGCUGUCAAUGCUGCCUUGCACUGGGAGAGUGCAUUUGUGGAGUGUGAAAGCCAGUACGAAUCAUAAAGAGCUGGAGGAGGCAGGAAGGAAUACAGGUAAAAAAAUACAACACCUGUAAGGUAAGCCUGAGAAAAGUUAUGGUUAUUUACUCAAAGCAAGACUAAAGGAACAUGUGAUAAGCAUUUCCAAACACAGCAGUAUAGAGUGCUGAUCAUAAUGUCUGUUCAGAUGCAGCAAGGAUUGGAACAAGGCAGGUUUAGGUCAGAGAUUCCCCAUUGGUUUCCAGCUGCCAGGAGAGUCACACUACUGAGUGGAGUGCCAGGGGAGAUGCUCCAGAAUUUGCUUAUGGAGGUUUGGGGAGGCUGGUAAGUAAAGCACUGUCAGUCAGGAAUGGUUUGUAUGCAAAUUCUACUGCCUUGGUUCUUCAGGAUGGACUAACAGACAUACUGAGUCCAUUCCAGCCCUGUUUGCUGAGAUUUCCACAUUGUAUAAACUCAAGUGUAGGUCUGACCUAGCUGGAAUGUUUUUGCCAUUAAGUGAAACAAAAGGCUUACAGAUGUGAACGGCAAAUUACAUACUGCAAAUUAAAGCUUUAAGAAAUUAAGCAUGGCCUUUUCACAUUGUAUUUAUACUUUUUGAAAGUUAUUUUAGUUCACUGCAUAUAAAUAACAAGUUGAGAAUUGCUGUUCUUAAUUGAAACCAUCUCUACUUUUCUAUGACAAGAGAUUACCAUUUUUAACAGACUCUUUGUGAUCCACUGAGGCUCAUCAUAGGAUUUUUUUGCAUUGUUGCUAGGCAGCUUCACGCAUGCCAGCAGACAGACACUGCUGGGUAUGUCAUGGCUAAUUAGGAAAAAAUCUCUGUACUUCUGAGUAUAUUGCAGCUCAAGUUUUUCAAGCUUGCUGGUCUGCAUAAACACAAAUUAAUUGAUAUGAGGACUGACGAAGAGCCAUCAUGGCAACUGUGCGGUGCUCUAAUAUUUUUUGUUUACAGUCCCCUGGAUCCACCGAGUGAAUGAAGUUGUAAAUAUCUAAACAGUAUUUGUUUGUGUUUCUGGGAAGAGAGCACCGAAUGGAACUGUGCUAACAUUGGCUUUGUCCUGGAUAUUUCAAAGAACUGAGCAUCACAUUCAGAUAUACAUGAUCUGCUCAAUUAACGCAAGCAGAAUAUUUUGCAAGGAUCAGGAAUUUUUGGAGGGGUGUGAGUAGUUUUAUUCCUACCAAGCAGUUUGAUAAUGAAAAAAACCUCUUAAAUGUUAUUGCCAGUUCUAUCCUGACUGUUUUUCAGCCAAUGCAUGGAGUAUAAAUGCCUCUGCAGAAGAGAUGUCAUAGAAAGAUGUACAACUGCAGGUGAGCAAUGCCAGGAGGCAGCUGCAUCCACUGCCCAUGGGUUGAGACAAAGCUGCCUGGCUGCCAAACUUAAAACAUGAGGUGGUUUUUCUUCUGGCUAUUCAGAGCAGCUAUCAGAGCAGACAGUUAAUGAAUAUUAGGGAAGAGUCCUUGCUGGAGUUAAACGUGCCUAGCAUCAGCUAUGAUUGUUUUGACCGCUGUUUACUCUGAAGAGAGAGAACCAGAAACUUGUCAUUUCUGUAAAAGGGGAAUGUUGGCUGUAGGGUAAAUCCUCAUUAAAUCUCUUAGGAAGUUAUCAUUUGAAAACACAGUGAAUGGCAGGUUGAAGUACAGGGAUUAUAGGAGCUGAAGGCACCUGAAAAAGAUAGAGAUUUAACUUGUGCUUGGUUUUCCUCUUCCUUCGGAUGGAUUGCUUUUAAUCUGGAUGCAGUUCAGAGAAACAAACAUCCUGAAAGAAGCUUUAAACAGCUUCCACAGUCAGGGAAGAACUAGGUUUGUAGAAACUUCUGAACUAUUCAGAAAUGUCUUUUGAAUAACGAAGGUGAAGCUGUCUCACAUGCAAGCUCAAAGCUGAUAACAAAAACAGCUCCUGCCUUCUCUUCUUUUUCAAAGCCUCACUUCACCAUUUUGUUUUUACUUUUCCUACCCUUUCUUGCCUGAAUGUACUAUAUUUCUGUUACCUGUUCAUGUAAAACACAGUUCUGAUGGAGACAGAGGGACUUAUCACAUGGCAGUCUGUCUUUGAACCUCGGGGGGACAUCUGCAUUGUCUGCUUUUCUUUCCUUUGACACUGCUGUAGGGAACAGAAUGGAAUGAGAAAAGGAUAGGGAUAGGG